rnacentral:tRNA from 1 species
GGAUGGUUGGCUGAGCGGUCGAAAGCGGUGGAUUACUAAUCCAUUGAGGGCGUGAGUCCUCCGGGGGUUCGAAUCCCUCACCAUCUGCCA